GGAGGUUCUUGGGUGAUGCACCCCAGAAUCAGGCUCCCUCCUCUCUGGUUCUGGGUGCGUCACCCAAGAAUCACA
rfam:Myotis brandtii contig284567, whole genome shotgun sequence.